CAGCAGCCACGGUAAUACGGAGAGAGCUAGCGUUGUUCGGAAUUACUGGGCGUAAAGCGCGCGUAGGCGGUUACUCAAGUCAGAGGUGAAAGCCCGGGGCUCAACCCCGGAACUGCCUUUGAAACUAGGUGACUAGAAUCUUGGAGAGGUCAGUGGAAUUCCGAGUGUAGAGGUGAAAUUCGUAGAUAUUCGGAAGAUCACCAGUGGCGAAGGCGACUGACUGGACAAGUAUUGACGCUGAGGUACGAAAGCGUGGGGAGCAAACAGGAUUAGAGACCCGCGUAGUCCCUGUCUCUUAUAA
rnacentral:rRNA from 1 species